rnacentral:lncRNA from 1 species
UCCGUUCGUUUGUUUUGCUACCCUGCUAACUUUUGUCGUUACAGGCGGCCGCCAGCCGCUAUUAGGUGCUUUUGUAACUUUUCUGCACUGUACAAAUAGGGUAUAUCCCUGUUUUCUCAAAAAAAAAAUAUAUAUAUGUUGGAUGGUUAUUUAAAGAAUAUUGAGAAUAAUGAAAGAUAUAUAUAUAUAAAUAAUUCAAAAUAAAUUAUUUUUAUAUAUUAUAUAUUAGAAUACAUGUUAUUUUAUAAUAAUAAUAAUCAUAAUUAUUAUUUUUAUUAGGGGCAUUUGCUUAUAUACCCUUGAAAAAUUUCCGUCUUUUUGAUUUAUCCAUCUCAUAAGGCUAAUAUUAAAAAUAUCUUUUAAUAUUCUAAUUUAUUUCCGAUGUAACCCUACAGUUAAAUUCUAUUAAUAAACUAUUAAUUAGCAACAAUCGUUAUUUUUGUGAAAGUGCUAUUUUGCUCUUUCAAAUAUGUUCUUCUACUAUCACCAACUUUUAUUAUUUACCCUUAAGAUAAGGACGAAAGAAGUAUUUUGAUUCUUUUCAAAUAUAUCCUUCUACUAUCACCAACUUUUUUUAUUUGUCUUUAAAUUAAGAGCAAAAUAAGUAUUUUAAUUUUUUUUUAACUCUAACACUACAACAGAAUUAGGUUAUAGGGACACAUAUUUGGGACACUUUUCAGUAAGUGUUCCAUUUAUGCUAAAACUUAAAAACACAUCUACUAAUGCCUAAAUAUAAAGCCCAAUCCAACUAAAAUAAAAGAUUACUCUACUCAACCCACCACACUUAGUCCAUUUGGCCCGAUUACAAACAAAAAAGAAAAAAAAAAAGAAAAAUCAAUUACCAUCUUUUUUUCUCUCUUCACUCAAUCUACUGAAAUUCUAGACGAAGAGCCUGUCGUCCUCCUCCGCCACCGUAGCCAACGAGAUAAAGUUUCGGCGGUUGCUAAAUGCUUAAAUAAGUGUUGGUAAAUUAGCAGCACUCUUUUAGAUUAUAGCGACACUCUUUAACUGUCACUAUAUACCUAGCGACCACACAUAUAGCAACACUUUUUAAAAGUAUCGGUAAUUUUAGCUAGCAGCACUUUUUUGACAUGUACCUAUAUUUAAAAGUGUCGCUAUAGACCGUUUUUGUUGUAGUGUAAUAGAAAUUUAAUCCGGAUUUAAUCCGAGAUAACUUAAUAGGUACUAACAGUAGGGAUAUUUUUGAAUAACGGAGAACUAUACGAGGGUAUAUUUGAAAAAAAA